rnacentral:sRNA from 1 species
UACAUUGACUCCUAUUGUGUAGCGGUAUUUUGUAAAGUGGGUCUGCUAGUUCAACAUUUCCUGCAUCUUACAAUUUGUGAUCUUUCGGUUUCUUAACAGGUGAAUUAUGAGAUGAUAUAACAUUGAUCUGAGAGUGUAGUGAACACA